rnacentral:snRNA from 1 species
AUGUGAGGGAGAUCUGGCUGCGACAUCUGUCACCCCAUUGAUCGCCAGGGUUGAUUUGGCUGAUCUGGCUGGCUAGGUGGGUGUCCCCUUCCUCCCUCACCGCUCCAUGUGCGUCCCUCCCGAAGCUGCGCGCUCGGUGGAAGAGGAUGACCAUCCCAGAUAGGAGUGUACCGAUCUUCGGUCAAGGGUAUACGAUAGCUGCGCUCCCCUACUAGAACCUCCAAACAAACUCUGGCUCAGCAUUCUUGGGACUGUGGCUGCCACACACAUCUGGAGGGCUCUUGAUUGUGGAGAGAUGAGCUUAGAAACUGCUUUUCU